GGGGAAUAUUGCGCAAUGGGCGAAAGCCUGACGCAGCAACGCCGCGUGUGUGAUGAAGGCCUUCGGGUUGUAAAGCACUGUUCAGAGGGAAGAAAUGGCGGGGGUAAACACUUCGUUUUGACGGUACCUCUGAAGAAAGCACUGGCUAACUCCGUGCCAGCAGCCGCGGUAAUACGGAGAGUGCAAGCGUUGUCCGGAAUUAUUGGGCGUAAAGGGCGUCUAGGUGGCAUGGCAAGUCAGAUGUGAAAUCCCUCGGCUCAACCGAGGACGUGCAUUUGAAACUGCUAAGCUUGAGUAUCGGAGGGGGCAGCGGAAUUCCUGGUGUAGAGGUGAAAUUCGUAGAUAUCAGGAGGAACACCAGUGGCGAAGGCGGCUGCCUGGCCGAAUACUGACACUGAAGCGCGAAAGCGUGGGGAGCAAAC
rnacentral:rRNA from 1 species